rnacentral:misc_RNA from 1 species
GUGAUUUUGAGUUAGUUUUGGAUAAUUAAAGAAUUUAUUUGGAAGCGGAUUUGAAGGAUUUGCUCUGUUUGCGUGUAAUUAUAGAAUUCUUCUUUGUAUUAAUUAUCUGAUACGUGACAUCAGAUUCUAUCUCUUUGUUAUUUGUCGCUCAAUUAUUUUCCUUUUUUAUGAUUUAUAGUAUUUUCUUUUUCUUUUUUUGUUUGUUGAAUGUUAUAUUGAGUUCUGUUAUUUUUCAUUAAAUGCCGUGUUAUUUUGCUUUCUCAGGUUACUGAAGGCGAUUUCUUG